CCUACGGGAGGCAGCAGUGGGGAAUAUUGGACAAUGGGCGAAAGCCUGAUCCAGCAAUUCCGCGUGUGUGAAGAAGGCCUUCGGGUUGUAAAGCACUUUAGGUUGGGAAGAAAAAGCUCCGGUGAAUAUCCGGAGUGUUGACGGUACCAACAGAAUAAGCACCGGCUAACUCUGUGCCAGCAGCCGCGGUAAUACAGAGGGUGCAAGCGUUAAUCGGAUUUACUGGGCGUAAAGCGUGCGCAGGUGGUUUCGUAAGUCGGAUGUGAAAGCCCCGGGCUCAACCUGGGAACUGCGUUCGAUACUGCGAGACUAGAGUUUGGUAGAGGGUGGCGGAAUUCCCGGUGUAGCGGUGAAAUGCGUAGAUAUCGGGAGGAACAUCAAUGGCGAAGGCAGCCACCUGGGCCUGAACUGACACUGAGGCACGAAAGCGUGGGUAGCAAACAGGAUUAGAUACCCUGGUAGUCCACGCCGUAAACGAUGAGAACUUGACGUCGGCCCGUUUUACGAGUCGGUGUCGUAGCUAACGCGAUAAGUUCUCCGCCUGGGGAGUACGGCCGCAAGGUUGAAACUUAAAGGAAUUGACGG
rnacentral:rRNA from 1 species